rnacentral:rRNA from 1 species
CCUACGGGAGGCUGCAGUGGGGAAUAUUGGACAAUGGGGGCAACCCUGAUCCAGCCAUGCCGCGUGUGUGAAGAAGGCCCUCGGGUUGUAAAGCACUUUCAGUGAGGAAGAACGCCUGGUGGUUAAUACCCAUCAGGAAAGACAUCACUCACAGAAGAAGCACCGGCUAACUCCGUGCCGGCAGCCGCGGUAAUACGGAGGGUGCGAGCGUUAAUCGGAAUUACUGGGCGUAAAGCGCGCGUAGGUGGCUUGAUAAGCCGGUUGUGAAAGCCCCGGGCUCAACCUGGGAACGGCAUCCGGAACUGUCAAGCUAGAGUGCAGGAGAGGAAGGUAGAAUUCCCGGUGUAGCGGUGAAAUGCGUAGAGAUCGGGAGGAUUACCAGUGGCGAAGGCGGCCUUCUGGACUGACACUGACACUGAGGUGCGAAAGCGUGGGUAGCAAACAGGAUUAGAUACCCGAGUAGUC